rnacentral:tRNA from 1 species
GCAUUGGUAGUUCAGUGGUGGAAUUCUUGCCCUCCAUGCAGGAGACCUGGGGUUGGAUUCCCAGCCAAGGUA